rnacentral:rRNA from 2 species
AUUGAACGUUGGCGGCACGCCUAAUACAUGCAAGUCGAACGAGAAAGCACUUCGGUGUGAGUACAGUGGCGGACGGGUGAGUAACGCGUAGGAAUCUACCUAGUAGUGGGGGACAACUCGAGGAAACUCGAGCUAAUACCGCAUACGCUCUUAGGAGGAAAGUGGGGGAUCUUCGGACCUCACGCUAUUAGAGGAGCCUGCGUUAGAUUAGCUUGUUGGUGAGGUAAAGGCUCACCAAGGCGACGAUCUAUAGCUGGUCUGAGAGGACGAUCAGCCACACUGGAACUGAGACACGGUCCAGACUCCUACGGGAGGCAGCAGUAGGGAAUCUUGGGCAAUGGGCGAAAGCCUGACCCAGCGAUGCCGCGUGUGCGAAGAAGGCCUUAGGGUUGUAAAGCACUUUCAGUCGUGAAGAAAAGCUACGAUUUAAUAUGUCGUGGUCUUGACGUUAGCGACAGAAGAAGUACCGGCUAACUCCGUGCCAGCAGCCGCGGUAAUACGGAGGGUACGAACGUUAAUCGGAAUUACUGGGCGUAAAGCGCGCGUAGGCGGUUUGAUAAGUGGGAUGUGAAAGCCCCGGGCUCAACCUGGGAACUGCAUUCCAAACUGUCAAACUAGAGUGUGGUAGAGGGCGGUAGAAUUUCCUGUGUAGCGGUGAAAUGCGUAGAUAUAGGAAGGAAUACCGAUGGCGAAGGCAGCCGCCUGGACCAACACUGACGCUGAG